rnacentral:rRNA from 1 species
UACGGGGGGAGCAAGCGUUGUUCGGAAUCACUGGGCGUAAAGGGAGUCUAGGCGGUUUGGUAAGUGGGAUGUGAAAUCCCCGGGCUCACCCCGGGACCUGCAUCCCAAACUGCUGAGCUUGAGUACAGGAGAGGGUGGGGGAAUUCCAGGUGUAGCGGUGAAAUGCGUAGAUAUCUGGAGGAACACCGGUGGCGAAGGCAGCUCGCUGGGACGGUACUGACGCUGAGGCGCGAAAGCGUGGGGAGCGAACAGG